rnacentral:rRNA from 1 species
CGACCAGGGCUACACACGUGCUACAAUGGCGCAUACAAAGAGAAGCGACCUCGCGAGAGCAAGCGGACCUCAUAAAGUGCGUCGUAGUCCGGAUUGGAGUCUGCAACUCGACUCCAUGAAGUCGGAAUCGCUAGUAAUCGUGGAUCAGAAUGCCACGGUGAAUACGUUCCCGGGCCUUGUACACACCGCCCGUCACACCAUGGGAGUGGGUUGCAAAAGAAGUAGGUAGCUUAACCUUCGGGAGGGCGCUUACCACUUUGUGAUUCAUGACUGGGGUGAAGUCGUAACAAGGUAACCGUAGGGGAACCUGCGGUUGGAUCACC